AAUUCUCUAAGCCCCAUAUACGGUCCAGGUGAAAAACACAUGACAAACCAAUCCCCCUUCGCGAUAAAAAAAAACCCCAAUCCCCCUAAAAUUGUCCAUCGUCUUCUCAGCUUCUAACUUCGUCCAAUCUCCGUUACCCAACCUCCUCUACAGUCAAACGUUUGCUUCAAUCUCCUCUUAAUGGUUUCCUUUCACCUCCCCUCUUUCUCAUUCUUUAUAUACUGUUUUUUCUUUCUGUUCUACAAACCAAAACCCUAGAACCUGCUCUAUUUAAGCUCAAGCCAUGGCGAUCAAAACAAACGGCAAGUUCCCUGUCUCCUCUGCCAAUGAUCAAGGAGUUAUGUUCUUCAAAAUAUCUCACCAGGUCCCACGAAACCCAGUUACACUACCUAUCUGAACCCAAUAAAAAGAUCCUUAUUGGUCUGGAAAUGCUCCUCAACGAACAGGAGAAAUAUAUAUGUAAACAUGAUUGAUUUGAGAUUACUGAACUGGUCACUCCACCACCAUCUCUAAUAGCCGGAGUAGAAAAGGAUAUUGGGAGAUUAAUACAUCUAAAAUUAUGGUGGUGUUCUGUGUUGUACAUCUCAGCAUCUCGAGAUAUAUAUAUAUAUAUAUAUAUAUAUAUAUUCACUAAAAUGUCUUUGUUUGCAUGCCAAAGAGUAUUGUGUUUGUUUAUUUGCUUAUAUGGUUCAGGUGUACUAUAUUUAGCUCUGAUUUCUAUAAAAUCCUUAAGUUGUUUGGAAUUUCCUUGCAGUUCUUCAACUAAUGUUGCUCAUAUUUUGGUUAGUAUCAGGUACCUCAAUAUUGACACAUCUGGAAGGUGAGCCAGGUUCUGAUGUCUUAUCACAGCAAUAAAAAUUGCUAAAAAGAGUAGGCUUUGUAAUGCUUCCUUUCGAUCUUUAAUUACUAGAGAAGAAAGAUGGGAUUUUACAUCAUGGGUUUGUUCAGUUAAUCUAAUUGUUAUUUUGUUCAACCGUGGAUGUUAGGGUAUUCAACUAUAAUCAUUUUUAAUUAAACAAUAGUCUUGAAAUAAUUUAUCUCCUGUCUACUCUUUGCUUGAUUCCAAAAUUCAAAUUUGCGGUCUUCCAUAUGGAAUUCAUGUUGCAGUGUUGUGAUAAAUUGGUUCCAAUAUAUAUUAAAUUGUAUGGGAUCAGGCAUGUGCGGAAGAAGAGCUCAAACAGAGUCGGUGAAGCAGCAAACCAACAUGGAAAAAAAAACAUAUGGUUACGGAAAGCUUUAAAUUGAAAAAGGAAGAAAGUGUUGAUGAGAGAUUGGAUUUAGGUGACAGUGAACCAGGGUUUGAUGCUGAUCAUGAAUAUGGUGAAGGGGAGUUUGAAGAGAGAGAAUUGAAGCAGGAGGAACAUGGGUUGGUUAAUCAGAUGGAUGAAAAACUUGAGGAGGAAACAGAGGCCGAUGAAAAUGCAGGUGAGUUUACCGACGACAUUGGGAGGAGCUAGAGUGUCAAAGUAGUGAUGUGCAUGCUUAUGAUGAAAUUAAGCGUGGAGAAGCUGUUGAUGUGUAAGAAGAAAGAGAAGAACAUCAUGAUGUGCUCCAUGAAGACGCUCGCUUAAGGAGUUUGAAAUAUUUGUUAGAAGCUUGGACAAAAGUACUACGGAAGAAGUUUUGAGAAAGUGUUUGUCCUGUGGCGAAGUGACUGAACUAAAAUGAGGAUUAUAAUGAAAUGCAAGGGUUAUCAUUAGGCAAAAUGAGAUAUCCGAUAGUAAUCUUCUAUACUUAAGUAUUAGAUCGAGAGUUUGUGUAACUUUAUAGUGUACAUAAUGCUCUUGGUCAUCGUAUGUUCAACCAGUAUGUAUAAGGAUUGACCAUAUUUAGGCAAGCCUAUGCAUGGAUUGACCAUAUAUUAUCAAAUCUGAUGUUCUUUUAUUCUU